rnacentral:rRNA from 1 species
GACGAACGCUGGCGGCAGGCUUAACACAUGCAAGUCGAACGCCCCGCAAGGGGAGUGGCAGACGGGUGAGUAACGCGUGGGAAUCUACCCAGAUCUUCGGAACAACACAGGGAAACUUGUGCUAAUACCGGAUACGCCCUACGGGGGAAAGAUUUAUCGGAUUUGGAUGAGCCCGCGUUGGAUUAGCUAGUUGGUGAGGUAAUGGCUCACCAAGGCUACGAUCCAUAGCUGGUCUGAGAGGAUGAUCAGCCACACUGGGACUGAGACACGGCCCAGACUCCUACGGGAGGCAGCAGUGGGGAAUAUUGGACAAUGGGCGAAAGCCUGAUCCAGCCAUGCCGCGUGAGUGAUGAAGGCCUUAGGGUUGUAAAGCUCUUUUAGUGGGGAAGAUAAUGACGGUACCCACAGAAAAAGCCCCGGCUAACUUCGUGCCAGCCGCCGCCGUAA